GACGAACGCUGGCGGCGUGCCUAAUACAUGCAAGUCGAGCGAAUCGGCGGAUGGGAGAGUAACGCGUGUGUAACCUGCCCCUAAGUCUGGGAUACCAUUUGGAAAAAGAUGCUAAUACCAGAUCCUAAAGGAUGGUACUGCUAUGCAUUAGCUAGUUGGUAAGGAAACGGCUUACAAAGGCGAUGAUGCAUAGCCGAGUUGAGAGACGAAUCGUCCACAGUGGGACGUAGCACCGGCCCAAACUCCUACGGGAGGCGGCAGUAGGAAAUCUUCCACAAUGGACGAAUGUCUGCUGGGCAAACGCCGCUGGAGUGAAGAGGGUUUUCGGAUCGUAAAGUUCUGUUGUUGGGGAAGCGGUAAUCAACCAGAAAGUCACGGCUAACUACGUGCCAGCAGCCGCGGUAAUUC
rnacentral:rRNA from 1 species